UACAGAGGCCCCCAAGCGUUAUCCGGAAUCAUUGGGCGUAAAGGGUGUCAAGGCGGUCAUGUUAGUCGUUCGUUAAAUCUGGGGGCUCAACCUCCAGCCUGCGAGCGAAACGGCAUGACUUGAGGGUGGGAGAGGUGCGUGGAACUCACGGUGUAGGGGUGAAAUCCGUUGAUAUCGUGGGGAACACCAAAGGCGAAGGCAGCGCACUGGCCCAUUCCUGACGCUCACACACGAAAGCCAGGGUAGCGAACGGGAUUAGAUACCCCAGUAGU
rnacentral:rRNA from 1 species